rnacentral:tRNA from 1 species
GCCCGCGCAGUGUGGUGGUCGCAUACAAGCCUGUGGAGCUUGUGGUACGGGUUCAAAUCCCGUCGUGGGCA